ensembl:lncRNA
AUUUUUAAAUGAAAAAGUGGAAUUGAUAUAUAAAUAAUUUGUGUUCCCACCUCCCCCCUUCCCUUAUAGAGAAGAACGUGCUGGUUGAGAGAAGCAGGAUCUUGAAGAAGAAAAGUACUGCCCCAGACUGAUGUGUGGUUUGACACAAGUCGGGGCCACCCCAGGCUGGGGGGCUCCGGGGGUCCCAGGAGGUGGGCAGGGAGUCAACGGAGAAGGAAGCCCAGCAUCACCAGACCCAGUGCUUCUGGCUGGCUGGGGGUCACCCCGUUGAACCUCAAGUCAAAGAUACAGGGCAGCUGAGCAACUGGAGCCAGCGAUGCAAGUCAGCACCAACUGAAACCCUGUUUUGCCAGAGCCUUCCUGCACCAUCCUUGCAUUCGACCCUCUGCAGAGACUUGGUGUAAUCAGAUUCUAUAGAAAGAAAACAAACAGAAGAAUGGCUAGUAUGUGAAGGAACAUGAAUCCAUUCGUUUGAUAAUAGAUAUUAUUAUGUUCAUGGCGAGCAAACUUAAAUAUGCCCAAGUUAAUGUAUAUUCAUUUCAAGCAAAUGUUAAUUAAACAAACUACUGUGUAAUUUUGGGGUUGUUAAAUGGUUGUCUACCAAGCUGAGACAGACUUGAAGUCCAGAAGUGACAGAACUUUGUAUUAUUUACCUUAUGUGUUCAGGGAAUACGUCCCCCAUCUGACUUGUGUGUUUCAUUGUUGAUAGAAGUAUCUGUCUAGCUAACUGAAUAAUUUCUUACUAAUAUUGAGCAUUCAUUUGUAAUUCCAAUAAAAGUCAGAAAACCUG